rnacentral:rRNA from 1 species
GACAGAGGGUGCAAACGUUGCUCGGAAUUACUGGGCGUAAAGCGCGUGUAGGUGGAUUGGUGUGUCAGAUGUGAAAGCCCUGGGCUCAACCCAGGAACUGCACCUGAAACUACCAGUCUUGAGUGGUGGAGAGGGAAGUGGAAUUCCUGGUGUAGAGGUGAAAUUCGUAGAUAUCAGGAGGAACACCAGUGGCGAAGGCGGCUUCCUGGACACUAACUGACGCUGAGACGCGAAAGCGUGGGGAGGCAAACAGG